AUGAGGCACCUUCUAACUGUCAUUGCCAUCAGCAAGGAGCAAAAAGGAAUAUGCUGGAGUUAUAGGCAAGCAGUUACAAGAGCCUGGUCUUGUGGUGGAAAUAAUAUACUUUACCUGCUAAAGGAUUUGGACUUCUGGGAUAUUCUUGAUAUCAACCUGCAAAAUGGCCACUGUUUGGAGGGAGACCUGACCUUUUGCCAAUGCCAGGAUGUUGCGGUUUAGGCCCGGCUGGCAACUAAGCACCAUGAGGCUGCUUGCCCACUUCUUCCCCUGGUGGGAAAAGGAGGAGAAUUGGAAGAAAAAGGUAAAAACUUGUGGGUUGAGAUAAGGACAGGUUAAUAGGGUGACACAAGAAAAGAAGAAAUAAUAACAGUAAUACUAAUAAAAUAAUGUAAGAAGUGUGAUGCA
rnacentral:lncRNA from 1 species